CACGGGGGGAGCAAGCGUUGUUCGGAAUCACUGGGCGUAAAGGGCGUGUAGGCGGUCUGGUAAGUGGGAUGUGAAAGCCCCCGGCUCACCCGGGGAUCUGCAUUCCAUACUGCCAGACUUGAGUAUGGGAGAGGACAGGGGAAUUCCUGGUGUAGCGGUGAAAUGCGUAGAUAUCAGGAGGAACACCGGUGGCGAAGGCGCCUGUCUGGCCCAAUACUGACGCUGAGGCGCGAAAGCUAGGGGAGCAAACGGG
rnacentral:rRNA from 1 species